GACAAGCCCUGCGUCAGGAGGUUGAGCACAGACCAUGUGGACAGCAGGUCUGUCGCGAGCAACCCUACACCAUGCACCAGCGCCACUGCUCCCAGCAGGAGUGGGUUUUGCAGCGGUGGCGGCAGCCCCGCGCCCAGGCCGAGCAGAGUCAGGGCUGCCAGCGCCGUAAGCAGCAAGGGGAAGGGCAGGUUGUAGAGCACCAGGCCCCCGCGAACGCCCAGCCGCGCCUGCGAGCCGUAAGGGUCGUGUGGUUGGCAAGUCAUUUAACUUUUCCAAACAAAUCUGCAAAAUGGAGAUAACAGCACCUGCCUCAUUGCGUUGUGAAGAAGAUGAAAUGUUUAGCCCGGUGCCCAACACCCAGUUCUCACUCUGUCAUCCAGGCUGGUGUGCAGUGGUGCAAUGUGGGCUUACUGCAGCCUUGACCUCCAGGACAAGUGAUCUCCCACCUCAGCCUCCGGAAUAGCUGGGACUACAGCUCAACAACGCCCCUCUGAAAGUAGGACUCUUGGAAAUGAACCUUGUUGGGAGUAAAGCUGAACCUUCACCUCUCCUUUCCAGGAUUCUACUCCAUUCAUACGGCCUCACACUGAAUUAAUGUUUCUAGCAGCCACAUUACUUUGUUACCCAAUUGAUCUAGUAGUAAAGUCUUCCCAUCUCUUCAUG
rnacentral:lncRNA from 1 species